rnacentral:rRNA from 2 species
AUGCAAGUCGAGCGAACGGACGAGAAGCUUGCUUCUCUGAUGUUAGCGGCGGACGGGUGAGUAACACGUGGAUAACCUACCUAUAAGACUGGGAUAACUUCGGGAAACCGGAGCUAAUACCGGAUAAUAUUUUGAACCGCAUGGUUCAAAAGUGAAAGACGGUCUUGCUGUCACUUAUAGAUGGAUCCGCGCUGCAUUAGCUAGUUGGUAAGGUAACGGCUUACCAAGGCAACGAUGCAUAGCCGACCUGAGAGGGUGAUCGGCCACACUGGAACUGAGACACGGUCCAGACUCCUACGGGAGGCAGCAGUAGGGAAUCUUCCGCAAUGGGCGAAAGCCUGACGGAGCAACGCCGCGUGAGUGAUGAAGGUCUUCGGAUCGUAAAACUCUGUUAUUAGGGAAGAACAUAUGUGUAAGUAACUGUGCACAUCUUGACGGUACCUAAUCAGAAAGCCACGGCUAACUACGUGCCAGCAGCCGCGGUAAUACGUAGGUGGCAAGCGUUAUCCGGAAUUAUUGGGCGUAAAGCGCGCGUAGGCGGUUUUUUAAGUCUGAUGUGAAAGCCCACGGCUCAACCGUGGAGGGUCAUUGGAAACUGGAAAACUUGAGUGCAGAAGAGGAAAGUGGAAUUCCAUGUGUAGCGGUGAAAUGCGCAGAGAUAUGGAGGAACACCAGUGGCGAAGGCGACUUUCUGGUCUGUAACUGACGCUGAUGUGCGAAAGCGUGGGGAUCAAACAGGAUUAGAUACCCUGGUAGUCCACGCCGUAAACGAUGAGUGCUAAGUGUUAGGGGGUUUCCGCCCCUUAGUGCUGCAGCUAACGCAUUAAGCACUCCGCCUGGGGAGUACGACCGCAAGGUUGAAACUCAAAGGAAUUGACGGGGACCCGCACAAGCGGUGGAGCAUGUGGUUUAAUUCGAAGCAACGCGAAGAACCUUACCAAAUCUUGACAUCCUUUGACAACUCUAGAGAUAGAGCUUUCCCCUUCGGGGGACAAAGUGACAGGUGGUGCAUGGUUGUCGUCAGCUCGUGUCGUGAGAUGUUGGGUUAAGUCCCGCAACGAGCGCAACCCUUAAGCUUAGUUGCCAUCAUUAAGUUGGGCACUCUAAGUUGACUGCCGGUGACAAACCGGAGGAAGGUGGGGAUGACGUCAAAUCAUCAUGCCCCUUAUGAUUUGGGCUACACACGUGCUACAAUGGACAAUACAAAGGGCAGCGAAACCGCGAGGUCAAGCAAAUCCCAUAAAGUUGUUCUCAGUUCGGAUUGUAGUCUGCAACUCGACUACAUGAAGCUGGAAUCGCUAGUAAUCGUAGAUCAGCAUGCUACGGUGAAUACGUUCCCGGGUCUUGUACACACCGCCCGUCACACCACGAGAGUUUGUAACACCCGAAGCCGGUGGAGUA